CCAAUAGCGUAUAUUAAAGUUGUUGCAGUUAAAAAGCUCGUAGUUGAAUUUCGGAAUCUGUCCGUUGGUCGGGCUUCAUUGUCCGUACUGGUGUGAUGAGUUCUUACCUUCUGAAUAACCAGCAUGCCAUUCAUUUGGUGCGUUGGGGAAGCAGGACUAUUACCUUGAAAAAAUUAGAGUGCUCAAAGCAGGCUAGUGCCUGAAUACAUUAGCAGGGAAUAAUAAAAUAGGACGGAAUGGUUCUAUUUUGUUGGUUUCUAGGAUCACCGUAAUGAUUAAUAGGGAUAGUUGGGGGCAUUAGUAUUCAAUUGUCAGAGGUGAAAUUCUUGGAUUUAUUGAAGACUAACUUCUGCGAAAGCAUUUGCCAAGGAUGUUUUCAUUAAUCAAGAACGAAAGUUAGGGGAUCGAAGACGAUCAGAUACCGUCGUAGUCUUAACCAUAAACUAUGCCGACUAGGGAUCGGACGAUGUUAAUUUUUUAAUGACUCGUUCGGCGCCUUACG
rnacentral:rRNA from 1 species